GAUGAACGCUGGCGGCGUGCUUAACACAUGCAAGUCGAACGAUGAAGCCCAGCUUGCUGGGUGGAUUAGUGGCGAACAGGUGAGUAACACGUGAGUAACCUGCCCUUAACUCUGGGAUAAGCCUGGGAAGCUGGGUCUAAUACCGGAUAGGAGCGUCCACCGCAUGGUGGGUGUUGGAAAGAUUUAUCGGUUUUGGAUGGACUCGCGGCCUAUCAGCUUGUUGGUGAGGUAAUGGCUCACCAAGGCGACGACGGGUAGCCGGCCUGAGAGGGUGACCGGCCACACUGGGACUGAGACACGGCCCAGACUCCUACGGGAGGCAGCAGUGGGGAAUAUUGCACAAUGGGCGCAAGCCUGAUGCAGCGACGCCGCGUGAGGGAUGACGGCCUUCGGGUUGUAAACCUCUUUCAGUAGGGAAGAAGCGAAAGUGACGGUACCUGCAGAAGAAGCACCGGCUAACUACGUG
rnacentral:rRNA from 1 species